rnacentral:rRNA from 1 species
GACGUAGGGCGCGAGCGUUGUCCGGAUUUAUUGGGCGUAAAGAGCUCGUAGGCGGCUUGUCGCGUCGACUGUGAAAACCCGCGGCUCAACCGCGGGCCUGCAGCCGAUACGGGCAGGCUAGAGUUCGGUAGGGGAGACUGGAAUUCCAGGUGUAGCGGUGAAAUGCGUAGAUAUCUGGAGGAACACCGGUGGCGAAGGCGGCAUCCUGGACCGGCAUUGACGCUGAGGCGCGAAAGCCAGGGGAGCAAACGGG